rnacentral:rRNA from 1 species
AGUGAACGCUGGCGGUAGGCCUAACACAUGCAAGUCGAACGGCAGCACAGUAAGAGCUUGCUCUUACGGGUGGCGAGUGGCGGACGGGUGAGGAAUACAUCGGAAUCUACUUUUUCGUGGGGGGUAACGUAGGGAAACUUACGCUAAUACCGCAUACGACCUACGGGUGAAAGCAGGGGAUCUUCGGACCUUGCGCGAUUGAAUGAGCCGAUGUCGGAUUAGCUAGUUGGCGGGGUAAAGGCCCACCAAGGCGACGAUCCGUAGCUGGUCUGAGAGGAUGAUCAGCCACACUGGAACUGAGACGCGGUCCAGACUCCUACGGGAGGCAGCAGUGGGGAAUAUUGGACAAUGGGCGCAAGCCUGAUCCAGCCAUACCGCGUGGGUGAAGAAGGCCUUCGGGUUGUAAAGCCCUUUUGUUGGGAAAGAAAAGCAGCAGGUUAAUACCCCGCUGUUCUGACGGUACCCAAAGAAUAAGCACCGGCUAACUUCGUG